rnacentral:rRNA from 1 species
UACGAAGGGGGCUAGCGUUGCUCGGAAUCACUGGGCGUAAAGUGCACGUAGGCGGAUCUUUAAGUCAGGGGUGAAAUCCCAAGGCUCAACCUUGGAACUGCCUUUGAUACUGGGGAUCUCGAGUCCGGAAGAGGUUGGUGGAACUCCGAGUGUAGAGGUGAAAUUCGUAGAUAUUCGGAAGAACACCAGUGGCGAAGGCGGCCAACUGGUCCGGCACUGACGCUGAGGUGCGAAAGCGUGGGGAGCAAACAGG